rnacentral:rRNA from 1 species
GGAAUUUUGGACAAUGGGCGCAAGCCUGAUCCAGCAAUGCCGCGUGAGUGAAGAAGGCCUUCGGGUUGUAAAGCUCUUUUGUCAGGGAAGAAACGGCUGUGGCUAAUAUCCACGGCUAAUGACGGUACCUGAAGAAUAAGCACCGGCUAACUACGUGCCAGCAGCCGCGGUAAUACGUAGGGUGCAAGCGUUAAUCGGAAUUACUGGGCGUAAAGCGUGCGCAGGCGGUUUUGUAAGUCUGUCGUGAAAUCCCCGGGCUCAACCUGGGAAUUGCGAUGGAGACUGCAAGGCUAGAAUCUGGCAGAGGGGGGUAGAAUUCCACGUGUAGCAGUGAAAUGCGUAGAGAUGUGGAGGAACACCGAUGGCGAAGGCAGCCCCCUGGGUCAAGAUUGACGCUCAUGCACGAAAGCGUGGGGAGCAAAC